rnacentral:rRNA from 1 species
CACUCCUGCGGGAGGCAGCAGUGGGGAAUUUUGGACAAUGGGCGAAAGCCUGAUCCAGCAAUGCCGCGUGAGUGAAGAAGGCCUUCGGGUUGUAAAGCUCUUUUGUCAGGGAAGAAACGGUGAAAGCUAAUAUCUUUUGCUAAUGACGGUACCUGAAGAAUAAGCACCGGCUAACUACGUGCCAGCAGCCGCGGUAAUACGUAGGGUGCAAGCGUUAAUCGGAAUUACUGGGCGUAAAGCGUGCGCAGGCGGUUUUGUAAGUCUGAUGUGAAAUCCCCGGGCUCAACCUGGAAUUGCAUUGGAGACUGCAAGGCUAGAAUCUGGCAGAGGGGGGUAGAAUUCCACGUGUAGCAGUGAAAUGCGUAGAUAUGUGGAGGAACACCGAUGGCGAAGGCAGCCCCCUGGGUCAAGAUUGACGCUCAUGCACGAAAGCGUGGGGAGCAAACAGGAUUAGAUACCCGGGUAGUCCCA